GCCGAACAGGAAACGACAUUCGUCGAGAAGCUUGUCCCUUUGCUGGUACAGAUAACGAUAAAGCAAUUCGAAGAGUCAAUCAUCGAUAGCAUGGGCAGCUUUAUUAAUGAGUUUUCAACGAGUUCGCUGCCAUUCAAAAUGAGGUUCACAAUAUUUUCAAUGACCCGAAAGCUAUUCAACUGAUGCUUACCAUCGUGGAGUGUGUUCGGAUACAUAAUCAAUGCUUUCCACAGUACAAAAUUUCCGUUAACUAUCUACGAAUCGCACAAGCGUCUCAAUUCUGUCAGGCACACUUUAAAGCCAUCCUGUAUGGUGACCUCUGGUACCGGGAGGAAGAGGAGCAAGGCAAGCAUGAUGCCAAACGACACCCGGAACUGCAAAACAUAAUGAAAUCAUGCCAUUUGGCGAUCGGCGUAAACGAU